rnacentral:rRNA from 1 species
UUGCGUGCUACUGUGAUGCCUGGCUGCUUCAACGCAAGUGUUGCAGUUAGAGUUGAUCAGCUGUGCGUGAUGUUUCUCAGCUUGUUAGUCAACCUUUGUUCGUGCUUGGGGAUAACUGCAGGUUCCAUGCUCUUCCCUGCGGGGUUGAUCUCGUGCCUGUUAGGACUCAGGUGUGUACACUUGGUGACAAAAUGGUUCUCUUCGACCCGUCUUGAAACACGGACCAAGGAGUCUAGCACAUGUGCAAGUUCACAGGUGGCAAGCCUGCUUGCGCAAUGAAGGUGACUGCUGGGAUAUUUGCACCAGCAACCGACCAAUCAAUUGAGAGAAGUUUGAGUAUGAGCAUAUGUGUU